rnacentral:rRNA from 1 species
UACGUAGGGCGCAAGCGUUGUCCGGAAUUAUUGGGCGUAAAGAGCUCGUAGGCGGCCUGUUGCGUCCGCUGUGAAAUCCCGGGGCUCAACCCCGGGCCUGCAGUGGAUACGGGCUGGCUAGAGGCAGGCAGGGGAGAACGGAAUUCCUGGUGUAGCGGUGAAAUGCGCAGAUAUCAGGAGGAACACCGGUGGCGAAGGCGGUUCUCUGGGCCUGUACUGACGCUGAGGAGCGAAAGCUAGGGGAGCAAACAGG